rnacentral:rRNA from 1 species
UACGUAGGGUGCAAGCGUUAAUCGGAAUUACUGGGCGUAAAGCGUGCGCAGGCGGUUAUGUAAGACAGAUGUGAAAUGCCCGGGCUUAACCUGGGAACUGCAUUUGUGACUGCAUGGCUAGAGUGUGUCAGAGGGGGGUAGAAUUCCACGUGUAGCAGUGAAAUGCGUAGAGAUGUGGAGGAAUACCGAUGGCGAAGGCAGCCCCCUGGGAUAACACUGACGCUCAUGGCA